UAAACACUGCGGGGGUCSUCCGCUGGUCGCAUGGCGUGGUUGCCGCCUGUGUCUGGACGCUUGCUGGCUGAAAUUCGGCGGCGGACGGGUGAUUAAUGCCUAGGAAUCUGCCUGGUAGUGGGGGACAACGUUUCGAAAGGAACGCUAAUACCGCAUACGUCCUACGGGAGAAAGCAGGGGACCUUCGGGCCUUGCGCUAUCAGAUGAGCCUAGGUCGGAUUAGCUAGUUGGUGAGGUAAUGGCUCACCAAGGCGACGAUCCGUAACUGGUCUGAGAGGAUGAUCAGUCACACUGGAACUGAGACACGGUCCAGACUCCUACGGGAGGCAGCAGUGGGGAAUAUUGGACAAUGGGCGAAAGCCUGAUCCAGCCAUGCCGCGUGUGUGAAGAAGGUCUUCGGAUUGUAAAGCACUUUAAGUUGGGAGGAAGGGCAUUAACCUAAUACGUUAGUGUUUUGACGUUCCGACAGAAUAAGCACCGCUAACUCUGUGCCAGCAGCCGCGGUAAUACAGAGGGUGCAAAGCGUUAAUCGGAAUUACUGGGCGUAAAGCGCGCGUAGGUGGUUUGUUA
rnacentral:rRNA from 1 species